GCCCCUUUAGCUCAGUGGAUAGAGCGUCUGCCUCCGGAGCAGAAGGUCGCUGGUUCGAAUCCAGUAGGGGGCACAA
rnacentral:tRNA from 2 species